rnacentral:rRNA from 1 species
GACAGAGGUGCCAAGCGUUAGGCGGAAUCACUGGGCUUAAAGCGUGUGUAGGCGGGCGAUCAAGUACCUUGUGAAAUCCCACGGCUCAACCGUGGAACUGCUGGGUAUACUGGUUGUCUUGAGCCAGCUAGGGGCGAGUGGAAUUCCGGGUGUAGUGGUGAAAUGCGUAGAGAUCCGGAGGAACACCAGUGGCGAAGGCGGCUCGCUGGGCUUUUUCUGACGCUGAGGCGCGAAAGCGUGGGGAGCGAACCGG